CGGGGCGUAGCGCAGCGGUAGCGCGCCAGGAUCGGGACCUGGAAGUCGCCGGUUCAAAUCCGGCCGCCCCGA
rnacentral:tRNA from 1 species